rnacentral:rRNA from 1 species
UCUUUUGAGAGUUUGAUCCUGGCUCAGAGCGAACGCUGGCGGCGUGCCUAACACAUGCAAGUCGAGCGCGAAAGUCCCCUCGGGGACGAGUAGAGCGGCGAACGGGUGAGUAAUACAUGGGUAAUCUGCCCCUAAGACCGGGAUAACCUUGCGAAAGCGGGGCUAAUACCGGAUAAGACCACGUAACACAAGUUACGUGGUAAAAGGUAGCAUGUAUCUGAUACGUGCUAUCACUUAGGGAUGAGCCCAUGGCCUAUCAGCUAGUUGGUGAGGUAAUGGCUCACCAAGGCUAUGACGGGUAGCUGGUCUGAGAGGACGGCCAGCCACACUGGGACUGAGACACGGCCCAGACUCCUACGGGAGGCAGCAGUGGGGAAUAUUGGGCAAUGGGCGAAAGCCUGACCCAGCGACGCCGCGUGG